rnacentral:lncRNA from 1 species
GUAAGAGUCAGGAGGGGGAGGGAAUUCUCUUUUGACCACAAACUAUUACAUUUCUCACAAAGGCAGUUACUCAACAACUUCCUCUGAUGUCUCCACUAACUCGGUCUUUGGCAGGAGGAAGAAACUGAGAUGCAGAGCUGGGCAACUAACUGACUAUUUGUGCACUCGAGAGGCUGGUCCCAAGCUCAGUAGUGGACGUGGAUUUAUGAUGAAAGCUUCUAAGGUCAUCUUGCCUUUGAGGGAAGAGCCAGACAGCCCAUGGUUCCAGAUCUGGUGAACGAGGUGAAUGAGGAAACGCUGCAAUGUUUUUAUGAGCCUACCUUUCCAUUGGAUGGCACUCAGCAGCAGCAUUUAGUAUAUUUUUGAGUAUAUCUUGUAAAGAUACUCUUGAAAGAGGACUUCUGCACCGCUUUAGAAAGUGGCAAGAUCGAUGAGAGCCUUCCCUGUGGCUCUUCAGAGAGGAAGAAUCAUUCCUCAGCCAGUGCCAGCCAAGGAAGCUUCUGCCUAGGAGCUUUCUUAGCAUCUUCACAGAGGCAAAAAGAACCAUGGCUGAAGCCCACAGAAAAGCACCACAAAAAAUAUACUCCUGUGGCUGCGUUCCUACAUCUUCAGCUCCAGAGGGUCUUUUCCGCUGCGCCCUCCCCUGCUGGCGCCGCUGCGGCCAUCUUCAAUGCUAGAGAGGUAGCUGCGUGGGCACCAUGAAAACCCCCCCCCCAACCUUUCCCCUCGUGCUUUCAGACCUCCUGAUUGUACCAGUCUUUGGACCUACUCUGUAGAGGCCGAGGUGGUCAUAAAGAGUAUUUUCUGGCACUUUCAACUUUGAACAUCUUUAAAGAAGUGGUGGGGGAAACUUAUAGUAGAACUGAGUGGAGUUCAACCCUUCAGGAGGUCGGGGAACUCAGUCUGGGCCUUGCCUCCUGAGCUCAGUCUGCGUCGUGGGGUUCUGCCACCAGCUAGCUGAGAUCAGGGGACUCGGCUCUGCAAAUGGCAGCACAUAUUAUAUAUUAUGA